AUGAACGCUGGCGGCGUGCCUCAUACAUGCAAGUCGCGCGAACAGACGAGGAGCUUGCUCCUCUGACGUUAGCGGCGGACGGGUGAGUAACACGUGGAUAACCUACCUAUAAGACUGGGAUAACUUCGGGAAACCGGAGCUAAUACCGGAUAAUAUAUUGAACCGCAUGGUUCAAUAGUGAAAGACGGUUUUGCUGUCACUUAUAGAUGGAUCCGCGCCGCAUUAGCUAGUUGGUAAGGUAACGGCUUACCAAGGCGACGAUGCGUAGCCGACCUGAGAGGGUGAUCGGCCACACUGGAACUGAGACACGGUCCGGACUCCUACGGGAGGCAGCAGUAGGGAAUCUUCCGCAAUGGGCGAAAGCCUGACGGAGCAACGCCGCGUGAGUGAUGAAGGUCUUCGGAUCGUAAAACUCUGUUAUUAGGGAAGAACAAAUGUGUAAGUAACUAUGCACGUCUUGACGGUACCUAAUCAGAAAGCCACGGCUAACUACGUG
rnacentral:rRNA from 1 species